UUUUUAAUUACCUGAUGUUUGGCGCUAGACCUGUGUCGGCGGUAGGCAUGUGCCGAUAUGACAUUUUUGUGUCACGGUUUACGAUGAUGUAUCGACUAUGUCUUUAACAGUAGCUGUUAUUAUUGGUCAGCGUUUUUAAGUGUGUGUGAAUUACUCAGGAUUUGGCUCCCUUUGUAUGUGACACCGGUUUACUCAACAAUCGCUCGCUAGCUUUGUAGCUCAGAUGAAUGGAAUGGUAGCAGCGAUAAUCUGUGAAGUGUAUCUGCGAUGAUAGUAUUAAGCCUGCCGAAUAUUGCAACGUAACGUCGAAGUGGUGGGUGUUGAUUCAGCGUUUUUGGUUAGCAAUGACUUUAUCAGCUUUGGUUUAGAGGUUCGAUCAGCUGUUGAAUCGGUUGGUUUUGAAUCCUGGAUUCAGUUGCCUAUGACAUGUUGUAUAGAUGAAGUAUGGCUCAGUGAAUUGGUUAUCUGUGAUUCAUUGAUCAGUUGAGUGACUCCUUGGUUCACUGAACGAAUCACCAGUGACUUGUUGAAUAAGCCAUCCAUUAGUAGGCAGAAGCUCUUUGAAUCAUUAGGCUGCGGCUCACUGAAUCGGUUAUGAUUGUUUCAUUGAAUAGAUCAACUGUGGCUCAUUGAAUCAGUUAGCUCUGGCUCAUUGAAUCAGCAAUCUGUAAGUCACUGAAUCAGUCAGCUUUGUCUUGUUGAAUCGGUCAGCUGUGACUCACUGAAUUGGUUAGCUGUGACUUGUUGAAUCGGUCAGCUCUGGCUCGUUGAAUCGGUCAGCUGUGACUCUUUGAAUCGGUCAGCUGUGACUUUGAAUUGGUCAGCUGUGACUCAUUGAAUUGGUCAGCUGUGGCUCGUUUAAUCGGUCAGCUGUGACUCACUGUAUCGGUCAGCUGUGACUCACUGAAUCGGUCAGCUGUGGCUUGUUGAAUCGGUCAGCUGUGACUCGGUUAAUUGUUCUGAAUAACUGAGUAUCGGCACAUGCCUCGUGUCUAAGCAUAACAUCUUAGUGUCCAUGUAGAUAAUCUCUUACGACAUUGUUGUGAUUUGUAUGUGUGUUUGUGUGUACCCGCUGCAGUAUUCCAGUUCCAAACCGGUGCUGUUAUGUCGUACGGCUCCGAUCCGUGUGCCGAUUUGUUAGUGUUUUCCGUUUUUUAAAAUUGUAGACGUCGGGAUCCGUUUUUAUUCACUCUCCGAUGCGCUUUGCUCUGCUCUUCUCUUUUUUUCUUUUCUUUUCUUUUUGUUGUUAAGUGUGUAUUUGUUGUAACUUGGGAGAUAACAGAUGGUAAUAAAGUUUGAUAAAUAUUUCA
ensembl:lncRNA